CAGAGAGGAGGGAGAGACAAACUUCAUUACUGACUCCAGAUCUGAGGACAAACUCAUCUGAAGAACCGCUCACACCAAUGUAAAGAGGAUGAUUGAUUCUGCACAUUCUAUGGGAAGGCGUGAGGGAAUUUCUCAUCUGACGAAAAGACGACUCGGACCCGCCCAGACCAGACCUUGACUGUGAACUGCCCGGCAGGAGGCAUAUCAUAAGUGAACAAUAGAGGGACACAUCUACUGACUUUUCAGACUCUUUUCCCACGGGUGAAGGCGUCUAUGCCGAACCUAGCAGGUGGGGCCGAACACUGUUUGAACCCAGGUGAUUCCGUGGUGGUCAAAGACUUCAGGAGAAAGAGUUGGAACGACCCCCUUCGAUAUCAAGUUCUUCAAGACCACCCCCACUGCGGUGAAGGUUGCUGAGAGAGAAACCUGGAUCCACGCGUAGCACUGCAGACGAGCUCCUGAUCCAGGAGAAGAUGAGGCCUCGCCAGUCCCAGCGGUGCCGUGUGGCCCUCCUCUGCUUUAGCACAGGAAUGCUAAUAGGAACAGCAGGCUGUCUUCUUGUAGGAAACCCGACAGAGGGUCAAAUGAGUCCUGAGCCAAAGGGGCGAACACAGGCCUGGAGUAGUGGCCCAGAAGUAGAUGGUCACCGUAGAAGGAGAGGCCUGCUGGGCCCUCACAACCAGGAGGACAAUUUGUUCUUAUCUAGAGCACAAAUGGUUGCCAACCUGACAUUCAAAGGAAAGGACUGCUGGGUGUGUGGGUUGAGUCCGGGGAAGGUUGGGGCAGGCUUCCCCCUUGUAGGAGUUCCGAUAGGGGUGAACUUUACUAUAGCAUUGGCAGGAAAAAUACCUUUUUACACUAUGACCAACAAUGUUAAGGUAUAUAAUCAACCCAAUAUAUUCUGUUAUGUGAGACCUGAUAGUGUUUCACUCCCACCCAUUUCAGUGGCUGCGGUGACGACUGCCCCUUGGUGUAUUAGGGGAUAUGGAGAUCACUAUUUGGGUGAAUUCAAAUGUAAUUGUACAAUGAAUAUUAAUGGAUCAAAUGCUUGCAAUUUAAAGGUGAUACAGGAGAAUGGCCAGGCUGAUAAAGAACCGUUUACAAUUUGGUUUGACAAACAUAGAACAACUCUGAGAGGAGCCCCUAAUGGCACCUACUGGUUGUGUGGUAAGAUGGCUUACCAUAGCCUUCCCCUGAACUGGGGAGGUACUUGUACUGUUGGGUUUGUGGUGACAGCAAUGAGAACUGUUCCAAACAAUGACCAGAAUCUGAAGGCUCUCUUCAGAGACUACAAACCUCCUGGGAUGAGGAGAGAUAAGAGGUCUCUGGCCGACGGCACUCACACUCAGGCACCUGCCUCCAGGUUCUUUGACGGGUUUGUCCCUGGGUAUGGAGUUGCCGGCGCCCAAGACCAAAUCCGUGAUAUCUCUAGACACGUAGAGAAAAUUGGCAAUGCGACUCGAAAUGCACUGGAACAAUUGAAUGGGGAACUAAAAGAAUUGGCUGAAAUGACUCUUCAGAACAGAGAGGCUCUUGACUAUCUUCUGGCAGCUCAAGGGGGCACUUGUGCAAUCAUAGGCGAUGAAUGUUGUACUUUUGUCCCAGGUCGCUCUUCUAAUGUGACUGAUCUUGCCCAAUACAUUGUCACUGUUGCUAGAAAUUAUUCCCCACAACUAGAGCGGACGCUUGCAACUUGGUUGGAGUCCCUGUUGGGAAGUUGGGGAUCUCAUAUUGCCCAAUGGGCUGCAGCGUGUGUUUUUUGAUUAGGCUGCAUAAUUCUAUUAUUAACAGGCUGCAAGGCUAUCUAACAGGCUGUAAGGCUAUCUAACAGGCUGUAAGGCUGUCUAACAGGCUGUAAGGCUAUCUAACAGGCUGUAAGGCUGUCUAACAGGCUGUAAGGCUAUCUAACAGGCUGUAAGGCUGUCUAACAGGCUGUAAGGCUAUCUAACAGGCUGUAAGGCUAUCUAACAGGCUGUAAGGCUGUCUAACAGGCUGUCAGGCUGUCUAACAGGCUGUAAGGCUGUCUAACAGGCUGUAAGGCUAUCUAACAGGCUGUAAGGCUCUAACAGGCUGUAAGGCUAUCUAACAGGCUGUAAGGCUGUCUAACAGGCUGUCAGGCUAUCUAACAGGCUGUAAGGCUCUCUAACAGGCUGUAAGGCUAUCUAACAGGCUGUAAGGCUAUCUAACAGGCUGUCAGGCUAUCUAACAGGCUGUAAGGCUAUCUAACAGGCUGUAAGGCUAUC